UACGUAGGGGGCGAGCGUUGUCCGGAGUUACUGGGCGUAAAGCGCACGCAGGCGGUCUGCUAAGUUUGGAGUGACAGUUGGUGGCUUAACUGCCAAAGUGCUUCGAAAACUGAACAGACUUGAGGGCUUCAGAGGGACACGGAAUUCCGGGUGGAGUGGUGAAAUGCGUAGAGAUCCGGAGGAACACCAAAGGCGAAGGCAGUGGUCC
rnacentral:rRNA from 1 species